CCUACGGGAGGCAGCAGUGGGGAAUUUUGGACAAUGGGCGCAAGCCUGAUCCAGCCAUUCCGCGUGAGUGAAGAAGGCCUUCGGGUUGUAAAGCUCUUUCGCAAGGGAAGAAAACUUACAUUCUAAUAAAGUGUGAGGCUGACGGUACCUUGAUAAGAAGCACCGGCUAACUACGUGCCAGCAGCCGCGGUAAUACGUAGGGUGCGAGCGUUAAUCGGAAUUACUGGGCGUAAAGCGUGCGCAGGCGGUUUUGUAAGUCAGAUGUGAAAUCCCCGGGCUCAACCUGGGAACUGCGUUUGAAACUACAAGGCUAGAGUGUAGCAGAGGGGGGUAGAAUUCCACGUGUAGCAGUGAAAUGCGUAGAGAUGUGGAGGAAUACCAAUGGCGAAGGCAGCCCCCUGGGUUAACACUGACGCUCAUGCACGAAAGCGUGGGGAGCAAACAGGAUUAGAUACCCUGGUAGUCCACGCCCUAAACGAUGUCUACUAGUUGUUGGGAGAGUAAACUCUCUUAGUAACGCAGCUACGCGUGAGUAGACCGCCGUCGGGUAGGUACGGUCGCGAGAGUAAACGUAACAAUAGAAGUAGACGGCGUGAGACGUGACCGACGGACGACGACGAGGGAGGAGG
rnacentral:rRNA from 1 species